ensembl:lncRNA
AUGGCUGCUUCAGUAGGUGCCCAAGAGAAUGGCAGGAUAAACUAACGAAACGGAGCAGGGCUGUAUAGUGAAAGUGUUUGUUGUCUGGAGGACUCUGGCUUUGCUUGCUGGAGAAGGCUGGAAAUGCAUAAUGAAUGAGACAGGAUACUCCAGAAAGCCAUAAAAUGGUCUCAGAGGGCAUGUUCGACGCCUUUGUGGGGAGCUAGGUUCUGUAUCUUGCUCAGCCACAGACUUGGUUCCUAUCCCUUGAAUGGAAAAGCUGACCACAACAUGCACACUUCUCAGCUUCUCAUUUUUUGUACGUCCAAGGUCCAUUUCACGGGACAAAAUCCUCUCCUUCAUCUCAGCACUCCUCUAUUCUCUUCCCUCCCAUCUCCUGUUGCCAACUCCAUGGGACACCACGCAUGGGCCAGCAGCCUUUGGUUGGCCACAGGCCCUUCUGACACCUAUGACCGGGCAUUGGAGGCCCCCUGCCUCACCUCUGGAUCCCGCAGCUCCUGGAAUGGGUUGUGACAUAAAUUCCUUGCAGGGAGUACGGUGUGAUGAGGAAGCAGUGCCGGGCACCGCACACAGCCCCAGUGCCAUACCAUCCGUGGCCACAGUGGUGUGCCGUUGCAGGAGGCAGUGAUGCUCAAUGCAGGAAACCUGACGGCGGAUAUAUUUUACAGCAUGGCAGCUGGAACGCAGGAUCAUAAGAAAUGCUUGCAUUUUGAAAUGCUUUAUCUUCCGUUUAAGGGAUAGUGUUUCUGGCAGGGAAAGUAUAUAUAAGGGUAUUAAAUGGCUUUCUUUGCAGGCAAUUAAACAAGGAAGCCGAUCAAAGACAUUUAAAUAAUUGUAACAGAUGUUUAUUGCCUAAUGCAGUUUACUGCAUCAUAUUAUUCCUGUUACAUACAGGAGAGAAGAACACAUGGCAAACUGUACUGCAAAAGAAAUUCUUUACUGCUUUGUGAGGAAUGUGGCUGCUACUCUGACUUCUUAAUUGAAUCACGUUGAGAAUAAGUCAGUAAUAAGCAGUGUUUGGAGCACAGAGAAUUGACUUACUGCCUGGAGGAGCAGCAGCAACUGGUGUGAAAAGACACGGGCUGGUGGCAAACACCUCUGAGAAAACAGACUGCGCUGGGAUUGCUCCAAGAGUGAUGCUCAGCUCACUCACAUUAGGAAUUUCAGUUUCUUCUGAGGUUAUGCCUACAGCAAUUAUAGGAACAUCUUGGGUCAGGACAAAAGUGUUAGUAGCACUGUAACCUGUGGCAACAUCUGGCAAUGGCUUCAGGUGGGCAACCAGGCAUCUGUAAAAGGCAAGCAUGUGAGAGCUCCCCCAAAUACUCUCCAAAUAUUUUUGUUGUAGGGCCAGAUGCAUUUUCUUUGUCUUUAAUAACAUUGUAACAUACUUUAGUAUGUUAUACUACAUACUUUUCUACUGGAAAGAGUCCAGCGGAGGGCCACGAAGAUGAUAAAGGGCCUGGAGCACCUCUCUUAUGAGGAAAGGCUGAGUGACCUGUGUCUGUUCAGCCUUGAGAAAAGAAGACUCAGAGGGGAUCUGAUCAAUGUCUAUAAAUAUCUAAGGUGUGGGAGGCACCUAUUCUUUUCAGUGGUGUGUGGGGACAGGACAAAGGGAAAUGGUCAUAAAC